rnacentral:rRNA from 1 species
GACGAACGCUGGCGGCGUGCUUAACACAUGCAAGUCGAACGGAAAGGCCCUGCUCUUGUGGGGUGCUCGAGUGGCGAAAGGGUGAGUAACACGCGAGUAACCUGCCCCUGACUUUGGGAUAACUUCAGGAAACUCGGGCUAUUAUCGGAUAGGAGCUCUUGCUGCACGGUGGGGGUUGGAAAGUUUCGGCGGUUGGGGAUGGACUCGCGGCUUAUCAGCUUGUUGGUGGGGUAGUGGCUUACCAAGGCUUUGACGGGUAGCCGGCCUGAGAGGGUGACCGGGCACAUUGGGCCUGAGGUAGGGCCCAGACGGCAACGGGAGGCAGCGGUGGGAAAUAUUGCACAAUGGGCCGAAGCCUGAUGCAGCAACGCCGGGUGCGGGAUGACGGCUUUCGGGUUGUAAACCGCUUUCGCCUGUGACGAAGCGUGAGUGACGGUAACGGGUCAGAAAGCACCGGCUAACUACGUG